rnacentral:lncRNA from 10 species
GGGCAUGAUGGCUCAUGCCUGCAAUCUCAGCACUUCGGGAUGCUAAGAUGGGUGGAUCCCUUGAGUGUAGGAGUUAAAGACCAGCCUUGGUAACAUGGCAAAACCUGGUCUCUACUAAAACUACAAACAAUUAGCAGGACGUGGUUGUGCAUACCUGUUGCCCCAGCUACUUGGGGGACUGAGGCAGAAGGCUCACUUGAGCCUGGGAGGUCAAGGCUGCAAUGAGCCCUGAUCAAGCCACUGCAUGCCAGCCUGGGUGACAGAGUGAGACUCUGUCUCAAAAAUAAAUGAAUAAAUAAAUAAAACUAUGUUUGGAGAAGUUGUUCUCUAUUUUACACACUUUGAACAAGAAGAGUUUGCUAAUCUAAAUAGAGAAUGUUUAUUAUUCUAUUAUUUUAAUUGAGUCAUUGUUUUUUCUCAAAGAGCUUAAAGUAGAGCCUAAAUUCUGUUAGAUCAAAGAACUGUAUUCAGAUAACUGAAAGGGUUUAUUCCCAAAUAUCUUAGUCAGCUUGGGCUGCUAUAACAAAUACUAGGUAGUUUUAACAGCAUACAUUUAUUUCUUAUAGUUCUGGGGGCUGGGAAGUCCAAGACUGAGAUGCUGGUCUAUUAGGUGUGUGGUCAUGCUGAUGCAAGAGGUAGGCUCCCACAGCCUUGGGAAGCUCCACCCCUGUGGCUUUGCAGGGUACAGUCACCCUCCUGCCACUUUCACAGGCUGGCGUUGAAUGUCUGCAGCUUCUCCAGGUUCACGGUGCAAGCUGUUGGUGGAGCUACCAUUCUGGGGUCUAGAGGAUGGUGGCCCUCUUCUCACAGCUCCAGUAGGCAGUGUCACAGGGGAGACUGUGUGGGGGGCCUCCAACCCCCCCACAUUCCUCUUCCACACUGCCCUAGCAGAGGUCCUCAAUGAGGGCCCCACCCCUGUAGCAAACUUCUGCCUGGACAUCCAGGUAUCUCCAUACAUCCUCUGAAAUCUAAGUGGAGGUUUCCAAAUCUCAAUUCUUGACUUUUGUGUGCCUGCAGACUCAACACGAUGUAGGAGCUGACAAAGCUUGGAGCUUGCAUUCCCUGAAGCCACAGCCAAGCUGUACUUUGGCCCCUUUUAGCUACAGCUGGAGUGGCUGGGACACAGGAUACCAAGUCCUUAGGGGGGCCCUGGACCUGGCCCAGGAAUCCAUUAUUCUCUCCUAGCCCUCAGACCUAUGUUGGGAGGAGCUGCCAUGAAGGUCUCUGACAUGCCCUGGAGACAUUUUUCUCAUUGUCAUGGUGAUUAACAUUUGGUUCCUUGUUACUUAUGCAAAUUUCUGCUGCAGGCUUGAAUCUCUCCCCAGAAAAUGGGGUUUUCUUUUCUAUUGGAUUGUUAUGCUAAAAAUUUUCCAAACUUUUAUGCUCUGCUUCCCCUUGAAUGCUUUGUCACUUAGAAAUUUAUUCUGCCAAAUACCUUAAUUCAUCUCUCUCAAAUUCACAGAUCUACAGAUCUCUAGGGCAGGAGCAAAAUGCCUCCAGUCUGUUUGUUAAACCAUAAGAGGAGUCACUUUUGCUCCAGUUCCCAACAAGUUCCUCAUCUCCAUCUGAGAUCACAUCAUUUUGGACUUUAUUGUUCACAUCACUAUCAGCAUUUUGGACAAAGCCAUUCAACAAGUCUCUAGGAAGUUCCAAACUCUCCCACAUCUGCCUGUCUUCUGAGCACUCCAAGUCUCUAGGAAGUUCCAAACUUUCCCACAUUAUACUAUCUUCUUAGCCCUCCAAACUGUUCCAACAUCUGCCUGUUACCCAGUUCUAAAGUCACUCCCACGUUUUUGGAGAUUCUUAUAGUAGCAUCCCACUCUACCCAUACCAAUUUAUAGUAUUAGUCUGUUCUCAAACUGCUAACAAAGACAUACCCGAGACUGGGUAAUUUAUAAUGAAAAAGAGGUUUAGUGGACUCAUAGUUCCACAUAGCUGGGGAGGUCACACAAUCAGCACGGAAAGUGAAGGAAGAACAAAGGCAUGUCCCACAUGGUGGCAGGAAAGAGAACAUGUACAGGAGAACUGCCCUUUAUAAAAUGAUCAGAUCUCAUGAGAUGUAUUCACUAUCAUAAGAACAGUAUUGAAAAAACCCGCCCCUAUGAUUCAAUUACUUCCCACUGGGUCCCUCCCAUGACAUGUGGGGAUGAUGGAAGUUACAAUUCAAGAUGAAAUUUGGGUGGGGACACAGCCAAACUCUAUCACUCACUUCGGGGAUAAUAGCAUGACAAGAGCUAUUUUUUAUUCUUUAUUGACACUGAAAUGUACAGCAAACUCUACUCAAUACUUCAAUCCUUUGGAACUCUAUAGAUGUUGGUGGAAUUCAUCUGUAAGAUUUGGCAGUAUCCCUGGUACCUUCCCUCUAGUGCAGGGUGUUUUUGCUUUUUCUUGCCUUUGGUUCCUGGCCUUGCUUUUUUUUUUUUUUUUCUGUGAAUCAGAAAAAGGACAUUCAUUGGAUUAGAGGUGGAGAAACUGAACUAGGGUGGAAGAAAUUUGGAUAGAAAGUAUUCUUGGAAUCAUGAGGGAUUAAGUGAAAUCAGUUUCUGGGAAACACAAGGGAAGAGCAGGGAAGAAGGGUAGGGAAUCCAGCACUGCUGCAAACAUCAGGCAAACACUGUAUCCAUAUAUCUGGUUCUGAAGUUUAAGAAGAUAAAAAUAUAUUUUUAAAUGCUAUCAUUAAAUAAUACUAUAAAGCCAAAUGGUAACCUUUGUUUCUUAAAAAAAAAAAAGAUAUUUCACUUAUUGCAUGUCAUUGGAAUUUAGAAGUUCUGGUCUUUACCUCUCCCAGCCAUCAGUUGUUAAAAGUGACUUUAAAAAGAAAAUAAGUUUGUUUUAGUUUGUUAGCUUUAUGUGUUUACUCUCCUUUUAGCUGAAAUGAGCAGGGGAAGCUAUAUUCUAAAAAUAUGCACUUCAGUUCCACACAGCAAGUUAAUUUUCAAGUUCAUCAGAUGUGUAUUUAUAUGGUGAUUGUAACUGUCACAUAAACAUUUUGUCAAUCACUGCCUUCCUUCUGUUCGGAUAUGCUAUGAGUACCAUCUACAAUGUGAUGACUGUUUUGCUUGUUCUAAGUAAAAAUUAAUUAUGGCAAUGAUACCAAACGACACAGACUCUAUUAUAACACUGCACUACCCAAAACUAUUAUUAAAGCUUGAAAGGAAAAGAUAAAAUCCUAGGUCAGAAUUAAAUUGUCAAAUGCUUUUACUUGUUCUUUUUAGAUCCACUUAUUUUUUGAAUGAAAAAUUUUCUAAACCUACUUGAAAGACGUAAACUGGUCCAUGAACGUAAAUCAUAAAACCAAUUAAAAUGUGUGAAAUAGCAAUAGAGUAUAAUGAAUAAAUCAGCUUAACCUACCUUUUGUUUGUAUGGUAUUUUGUUUGGUUAUACUGUGAAUAAAACAUAUGUGACUAUUUUAUCCUUUAAACAAUAAUGGCAUACAAUUUGGGAGUCACCACAGUAAUGCUGUUCUUAUUAAAAAUGACCAAUAAAUAAUAAAAGAGUGAGCAAAAAUUUAAGGAAAAUUAGAAUACUUCUCUCAUUUUUAAACAUCUCUACAUUAUUAACUACAAAGGUAAAAUCAUUAACUUUACAAGAAGAAACC